AUAUAUCUUGUAAGACCCCCUUUUGGAGACCCCCCACUCUAGUCUCAGGAGAAAGAGUGCACCCAAAGAAACAUGGGAAUCC
rnacentral:pre_miRNA from 7 species